GAAAAUGCGAUAAGUAGUGUGAAUUGCAGAAUUCAGUGAAUCAUCGAAUCUUUGAACGCACAUUGCGCCCCUUGGUAUUCCAUGGGGCAUGCCUGUUCGAGCGUCAUUUGUACCCUCAAGCUUUGCUUGGUGUUGGGCGUCUUGUCCUCUUCUGGAGGACUCGACUCAAAACAAUUGGCAGCCGGCAUAUUGGUAUCGGAGCGCAGCACGAGUCGCACUUUGUUCCAUGAAUGGUGGCACCCAUCAAGACCAGUUUCUCACUCUUGAACGCGGAUCAGGUAGGGAUACCCGCUGAACUUAA
rnacentral:misc_RNA from 1 species